AUUGAACGCUGGCGGCAGGCCUAACACAUGCAAGUCGAGCGGAUGAAGGGAGCUUGCUCCUGGAUUCAGCGGCGGACGGGUGAGUAAUGCCUAGGAAUCUGCCUGGUAGUGGGGGAUAACGUCCGGAAACGGGCGCUAAUACCGCAUACGUCCUGAGGGAGAAAGUGGGGGAUCUUCGGACCUCACGCUAUCAGAUGAGCCUAGGUCGGAUUAGCUAGUUGGUGGGGUAAAGGCCUACCAAGGCGACGAUCCGUAACUGGUCUGAGAGGAUGAUCAGUCACACUGGAACUGAGCCACGGUCCAGACUCCUACGGGAGGCAGCAGUGGGGAAUAUUGGACAAUGGGCGAAAGCCUGAUCCAGCCAUGCCGCGUGUGUGAAGAAGGUCUUCGGAUUGUAAAGCACUUUAAGUUGGGAGGAAGGGCAGUAAGUUAAUACCUUGCUGUUUUGACGUUACCAACAGAAUAAGCACCGGCUAACUUCGUG
rnacentral:rRNA from 1 species